rnacentral:rRNA from 1 species
AUUGAACGCUGGCGGCAGGCCUAACACAUGCAAGUCGAACGCGUGGCGGGCGGGUGAGUAAUGUAUGGGAAACUGCCUGAUGGAGGGGGCUAACUACUGGAAACGGUAGCUACUACCGCAUACCAUCGGAUGUGCCCGGAUGGGAUUAGCUAGUAGGUGGGGUAAAGGCUCACCUAGGCGACGAUCCCUAGCUGGUCUGAGAGGAGGACCAGCCACACUGGAACUGAGACACGGUCCAGACUCCUACGGGAGGCAGCAGUGGGGAAUAUUGCACAAUGGGCGAAAGCCUGAUGCAGCCAUGCCGCGUGUAUGAAGAAGGCCUUCGGGUUGUAAAGUACUUUCAGCGGGGAGGCGUUACCCGCAGAAGAAGCACCGGCUAACUCCGUGCCAGCAGCCGCGGUAAUUC